GACGAACGCUGGCGGCGUGCUUAACACAUGCAAGUCGAACGGAGUGGCGAACGGGUGAGUAACACGUGGGUGACCUGCCCUGCACUUCGGGAUAAGCCUGGGAAACUGGGUCUAAUACCGGAUAGUGUGGGAUGGGCCCGCGGCCUAUCCGCUUGUUGGUGGGGUAAUGGCCGACCAAGGGGGCGACGGGUAGCCGGCCUGAGAGGGUGGACGGCCACAUAGGGACUGGGACACGUCCCAGACUACUACGGGAGGAAGCAGAGGGGAAGGUGGAACAAUGGGCGGAAGCCUGAUGCAGCGACGCCGCGUGGGGGAUGACGGCCUUCGGGUUGUAAACUCCUUUCACCAUCGACGCGGUAGAUGGAGAAGAAGCGCCGGCUAACUUCGUGCCAGCAGCCGCGGUAAUAC
rnacentral:rRNA from 1 species